AGAGUUUGAUCAUGGCUCAGGACGAACGCUGGCGGCGUGCUUAACACAUGCAAGUCGAACGGAAAGGCCCUUCGGGGUACUCGAGUGGCGAACGGGUGAGUAACACGUGGGUGAUCUGCCCUGCACUUUGGGAUAAGCCUGGGAAACUGGGUCUAAUACCGAAUAGGACCGCGCUCUUCAUGGGGUGUGGUGGAAAGCUUUUGCGGUGUGGGAUGAGCCCGCGGCCUAUCAGCUUGUUGGUGGGGUAAUGGCCUACCAAGGCGACGACGGGUAGCCGGCCUGAGAGGGUGACCGGCCACACUGGGACUGAGAUACGGCCCAGACUCCUACGGGAGGCAGCAGUGGGGAAUAUUGCACAAUGGGCGCAAGCCUGAUGCAGCGACGCCGCGUGAGGGAUGACGGCCUUCGGGUUGUAAACCUCUUUCAGUAGGGACGAAGCGAAAGUGACGGUACCUACAGAAGAAGGACCGGCCAACUACGUGCCAGCAGCCGCGGUAAUACGUAGGGUCCGAGCGUUGUCCGGAAUUACUGGGCGUAAAGAGCUCGUAGGUGGUUUGUCGCGUUGUUCGUGAAAACUCACAGCUUAACUGUGGGCGUGCGGGCGAUACGGGCAGACUAGAGUACUGCAGGGGAGACUGGAAUUCCUGGUGUAGCGGUGGAAUGCGCAGAUAUCAGGAGGAACACCGGUGGCGAAGGCGGGUCUCUGGGCAGUAACUGACGCUGAGGAGCGAAAGCGUGGGUAGCGAACAGGAUUAGAUACCCCGGUAGUCCAA
rnacentral:rRNA from 1 species